rnacentral:rRNA from 1 species
ACUCGGAGGGAUCAUUACAAGAGCGCCGAAAGGCUGCUUAAAACCAUCGUGAACCUAUCCAUCAGCGUUGCUUCGGCGGGAGCGCUCGCGGGGCCGGAGUCUCUCCGGUCCCCGGGCCGUGGACCCCACACCUCCGGGUGCGGGGCCGCCCGCCGGAGGUACGAAACUCUUCUGCAUCUUAGUGGCAUCUCUGAGUAAACAAGCAAAUAAUUAAAACUUUCAACAACGGAUCUCUUGGUUCUGGCAUCGAUGAAGAACGCAGCGAAAUGCGAUAAGUAAUGUGAAUUGCAGAAUUCAGUGAAUCAUCGAAUCUUUGAACGCACAUUGCGCCCGCCAGUACUCUGGCGGGCAUGCCUGUUCGAGCGUCAUUUCAACCCUCAAGCCCUGCUUGGUGUUGGGGCCCUACGGCUGCCGUAGGCCCUGAAAGGAAGUGGCGGGCUCGCUACAACUCCGAGCGUAGUAGAAUCCUAUCUCGCUAGGGAGGUGCGGCGUGCUCCAGCCGUUAAAGACCCCAUCUUUAACCAAGGUUGACCUCGGAUCAGGUAGGAAUACCCGCUGAACUUAAGCUUA